rnacentral:rRNA from 1 species
AACGCGAAGAACCUUACCUACCCUUGACAUCCUGCGAACCCUGAUGAGAGUUGGGGGUGCCGAAAGGAGCGCAGAGACAGGUGCUGCAUGGCUGUCGUCAGCUCGUGUUGUGAGAUGUUGGGUUAAGUCCCGUAACGAGCGCAACCCUUGUUCUUAGUUGCCAGCAAGUAAAGUUGGGGACUCUAAGAAGACUGCCGGUGAUGAACCGGAGGAAGGCGGGGACGACGUCAAGUCAUCAUGGCCUUUAUGGGUAGGGCUACACACGUGCUACAAUGGGGCGUACAGAGGGUAGCCAACCAGCGAUGGGGAGCCAAUCUCAGAAAGCGCCUCGUAGUCCGGAUUGGAGUCUGCAACUCGACUCCAUGAAGUUGGAAUCGCUAGUAAUCGCGAAUCAGCCAUGUCGCGGUGAAUACGUUCCCGGGCCUUGUA